GAUGAACGCUGGCGGCGUGCUUAACACAUGCAAGUCGUACGGUAAGGCCCUUUCGUGGUUCCACGAGUGGCGAACGGGUGCGUAACACGUGCGUAACCUGCCCACAACUUUGGGAUAACGCUAGGAAACUGGUGCUAAUACUGGUUAUGUGUUCCUGCUGCAUGGUGGGGGUUGGAAAGCUACGGCGGUUGUGGAUGGACUCGCGGCCUAUCAGCUUUUUGGUGGGGUAGUGGGCUACCAAGGCGGCGACGGGUAGCCGGCCUGAGAGGGUGACUGGCCACAUUGGGACUGAGAGACGGCCCAGACUCCUACGGGAGGCAGCAGUGGGGAAUAUUGCACAAUAGGCGCAAGCCAGAUGCAGCAACGCCGCGUGCGGGAUGACGGCCUUCGGGUUGUGAACCGCUUUCAGCAGGGACGAAGCUUUUUGUGACGGUACCUGCAGAAGAAGCAACGGCUAACUACGUG
rnacentral:rRNA from 1 species